rnacentral:rRNA from 1 species
CAGUCGCCGCGGUAAUACGAACCGUGCGAACGUUAUUCGGAAUCACUGGGCUUAAAGCGCGUAUAGGUGGGUGGGUACGUCCGUCGUUGAAAGCCCCCGGCUCAACCGGGGAACUGGCGCGGAUACGGCCUACCUGGAGGGACGUAGGGGGACCCGGAACUUCCGGUGGAGCGGUGAAAUGCGUUGAGAUCGGAAGGAACGCCCGUGGCGAAAGCGAGGUCCUGGACGUUUUCUGACACUGAGGCGCGAAAGCCAGGGGAGCGAACGGGAUUAGAUACCCCAGUAGUCCCUGUCUCUUAUA